rnacentral:rRNA from 1 species
CGGCGGACGGGUGAGUAACACGUGGAUAACCUACCUAUAAGACUGGGAUAACUUCGGGAAACCGGAGCUAAUACCGGAUAAUAUUUUGAACCGCAUGGUUCAAAAGUGAAAGACGGUCUUGCUGUCACUUAUAGAUGGAUCCGCGCUGCAUUAGCUAGUUGGUAAGGUAACGGCUUACCAAGGAAACGAUGCAUAGCCGACCUGAGAGGGUGAUCGGCCACACUGGAACUGAGACACGGUCCAG